rnacentral:pre_miRNA from 1 species
CCGAUCCUCUCCAAUCCCGCUCACGCUGGGCAUUCUUUAGUGAAUAACACGUUUGAUACGAAGAACUGUUAUUGCUCAAGAAUGCCAAUCGUGAUGGAUAACGAGGGAGGAGCAGG